rnacentral:rRNA from 1 species
AUUGAACGCUGGCGGCAGGCCUAACACAUGCAAGUCGGACGGUAGCACAGAGGAGCUUGCUCCUUGGGUGACGAGUGGCGGACGGGUGAGUAAUGUCUGGGGAUCCGCCCGAUGGAGGGGGAUAACUACUGGAAACGGUAGCUAAUACCGCAUAACGUCGCAAGACCAAAGUGGGGGACCUUCGGGCCUCACACCAUCGGAUGUGCCCAGAUGGGAUUAGCUAGUAGGUGGGGUAAUGGCUCACCUAGGCGACGAUCCCUAGCUGGUCUGAGAGGAUGACCAGCCACACUGGAACUGAGACACGGUCCAGACUCCUACGGGAGGCAGCAGUGGGGAAUAUUGCACAAUGGGCGCAAGCCUGAUGCAGCCAUGCCGCGUGUAUGAAGAAGGCCUUCGGGUUGUAAAGUACUUUCAGCGGGGAGGAAGGCGGUGAAGUUAAUAACUUCACCGAUUGACGUUACCCGCAGAAGAAGCACCGGCUAACUCCGUGCCAGCCGCCGCGGUAA